AUGCGAUACGUAGUGUGAAUUGCAGAAUUCCGUGAAUCAUCGAAUCUUUGAACGCAUAUUGCACCUAUUGGUAUUCCGAUAGGUAUGCUUGUUCGAGUCUCAGUUUUCACCUCACACAACCAAUGGUUUUUAAAAGCUGUAAUGGCGCCAAGUGGUUAAUGUGGUAUUGAGUGUAUUCCCACUUGGUAAACGAGAGGGUCACUUGAAAUACUUGGUAGCUUUAUGAGUCCGAUAAUGCUUCGCAUAUUUCGAAAAGCUCAAAGUACCGCUAAGUUUAAGCCUUUACUGGUCACUCUUUAGCUGGGAAAUUUUUGAAAUGAAGUGCUUAUUGACUUUAUACCAAACCUGAUAUUGAAUAGCAGUCGUAGUUACUGUAACUAUUCAAAAUCUUUGAACCCUUGAGCUCGAAUCAAGCAAGAUUACCCGCUGAACUUAA
rnacentral:misc_RNA from 1 species